AGGGCACUGGAAGGUCCNUAAACCGAAAGGGGCUCUGCCCGCCCGAGGAUGGGCCGGCGGCCGAUUAGGUAGUUGGUGGGGUAACGGCCCACCAAGCCCAUAAUCGGUACGGGCAGUGAGAGCUGGAGCCCGGAGAUGGACACUGAGACACGGGUCCAGGCCCUACGGGGCGCAGCAGGCGCGAAGCCUCCGCAAUGCUCGAAAGAGCGACGGGGGGACCCCAAGUGCCGUGGUACAACCACGGCUUUUCCGGAGUGUAAGAAGCUCCGGGAAUAAGGGCUGGGCAAGGCCGGUGGCAGCCGCCGCGGUAAUACCGGCGGCCCGAGUGGUGGCCACUAUUAUUGGGCCUAAAGCGUCCGUAGCCGGGCUUGUAAGUCCCUGGCGAAAUCCCACGGCUCAACCGUGGGGCUUGCUGGGGAUACUGCAAGCCUUGGGACCGGGAGAGGCCGGGGGUACUCCUGGGGUAGGGGUGAAAUCCUAUAAUCCCAGGAGGACCGCCAGUGGCGAAGGCGCCCGGCUGGAACGGGUCCGACGGUGAGGGACGAAGGCCAGGGGAGCAAACCGGAUUAGAUACCCGGGUAGUCCUGGCUGUAAAGGAUGCGGGCUAGGUGUUGCUUGGACCUCGAGUCCAAGCAGUGCCGCAGGGAAGCCGU
rnacentral:rRNA from 1 species